ACUCCUACGGGAGGCAGCAGUAGGGAACCUUCCACAAUGGGCGCAAGCCUGAUGGAGCAACACCGCGUGAGUGAAGAAGGGUUUCGGCUCGUAAAGCUCUGUUGUUAAAGAAGAACACGUAUGAGAGUAACUGUUCAUACGUUGACGGUAUUUAACCAGAAAGUCACGGCUAACUACGUGCCAGCAGCCGCGGUAAUACGUAGGUGGCAAGCGUUAUCCGGAUUUAUUGGGCGUAAAGAGAGUGCAGGCGGUUUCUAAGUCUGAUGUGAAAGCCUUCGGCUUAACCGGAGAAGUGCAUCGGAAACUGGAUAACUUGAGUGCAGAAGAGGGUAGUGGAACUCCAUGUGUAGCGGUGGAAUGCGUAGAUAUAUGGAAGAACACCAGUGGCGAAGGCGGCUACCUGGUCUGCAACUGACGCUGAGACUCGAAAGCAUGGGUAGCGAACAGGAUUAGAUA
rnacentral:rRNA from 1 species